CGGGGUUGCGGACAGUGUCUGGUGGGUAGUUUGACUGGGGCGGUCUCCUCCCAAAGAGUAACGGAGGAGCACGAAGGUUAGCUAAUCCUGGUCGGACAUCAGGAGGUUAGUGCAAUGGCAUAAGCUAGCUUGACUGCGAGCGUGACGGCGCGAGCAGGUGCGAAAGCAGGUCAUAGUGAUCCGGUGGUUCUGAAUGGAAGGGCCAUCGCUCAACGGAUAAAAGGUACUCCGGGGAUAACAGGCUGAUACCGCCCAAGAGUUCAUAUCGACGGCGGUGUUUGGCACCUCGAUGUCGGCUCAUCACAUCCUGGGGCUGAAGUAGGUCCCAAGGGUAUGGCUGUUCGCCAUUUAAAGUGGUACGCGAGCUGGGUUUAGAACGUCGUGAGACAGUUCGGUCCCUAUCUGCCGUGGGCGCUGGAGAAUUGAGGGGGGCUGCUCCUAGUACGAGAGGACCGGAGUGGACGCAUCACUGGUGUUCGGGUUGUCAUGCCAAUGGCACUGCCCGGUAGCUAAAUGCGGAAGAGAUAAGUGCUGAAAGCAUCUAAGCACGAAACUUGCCCCGAGAUGAGUUCUCCCUGAGACUUUAAGUCUCCUGAAGGAACGUUGAAGACGACGACGUUGAUAGGCCGGGUGUGUAAGCGCAGCGAUGCGUUGAGCUAACCGGUACUAAUGAACCGUGAGGCUUAACCUUACAACGCCGAAG
rnacentral:rRNA from 1 species